UGGGGAAUUUUGGACAAUGGGGGAAACCCUGAUCCAGCCAUCCCGCGUGUGCGAUGAAGGCCUUCGGGUUGUAAAGCACUUUUGGCAGGAAAGAAACGUCGCGGGUUAAUACCCCGCGAAACUGACGGUACCUGCAGAAUAAGCACCGGCUAACUACGUGCCAGCAGCCGCGGUAAUACGUAGGGUGCAAGCGUUAAUCGGAAUUACUGGGCGUAAAGCGUGCGCAGGCGGUUCGGAAAGAAAGAUGUGAAAUCCCAGAGCUUAACUUUGGAACUGCAUUUUUAACUACCGGGUUAGAGUGUGUCAGAGGGAGGUGGAAUUCCGCGUGUAGCAGUGAGAUGCGUAGAUAUGCGGAGGAACACCGAUGGCGAAGGCAGCCUCCUGGGAUAACACUGACGCUCAUGCACGAAAGCGUGGGGAGCAAACAGGAUUAGAUACCCUGGUAGUCCACGCCCUAAACGAUGUCAACUAGCUGUUGGGGCCUUCGGGCCUUGGUAGCGCAGCUAACGCGUGAAGUUGACCGCCUGGGGAGUACGGUCGCAAGAUUAAAACUCAAAUGAAUUGACGGGGUCAUAGCUG
rnacentral:rRNA from 1 species